rnacentral:rRNA from 1 species
UACGUAGGGGGCUAGCGUUGUCCGGAUUUAUUGGGCGUAAAGGGCGUGUAGGCGGCCAGAUAGGUCUGUUGUGAAAACUCGAGGCUCAACCUCGAGACGCCGAUGGAAACCAUCUGGCUAGAGUCCGGAAGAGGAGAGUGGAAUUCCUGGUGUAGCGGUGAAAUGCGCAGAUAUCAGGAAGAACACCCGUGGCUAAGGCGGCUCUCUAGUACGGUACUGACGCUGAGACGCGAAAGCGUGGGGAGCGAACCGG